UUUGCAUCUUGGCCCUGCCAGUUCUUAAAUGACCUUGGCCAAGGUAUUUGACCUCUCCUGGCCUCAGGUCCCUCAUCUGUAAAAUGAAGUGAUUGGAUUGAAUCCUUAGAUGGUCCCUUUCAGCUCUAAAUCUCUGCUUCCGUGGACAAAGCUUACCAUAACUAUUCCUCCCUACCCAGCCCUAAAUGACUGUUUCACUGACUAUCUGCAGCUUCUCCUUUUUGUCUCCCUUUCCUUCAUCCACCUCUUCCCUAAAGCCUGUAGGUCUCCCACCUUAUGCCCAUCCUUUCAUGCCAUCCCUUGGAUUUCUUGAGGAUGCUUUCCUUCUUUCCUGCUCUGCCUCAUGGUCCUCAAGUCUCCUCUCCUAACCUCUUACCCUCACCAGAUAUCCUUGAUUGUGCACUUGGCCAUUCUUUUUCUUUACAUCUGUUGGUGCUUCUUAUGGCCACACUUACAGCAUUGGUGGUCUGCUUUCAGCUGGAAGGCCAGUGAUGUCAUCAUGUCAGAGUCUUUUUCAACAUACUCGUCAUCCAGCGGUUCUGUUCCUUCCAGUGCUAAGGUCAGUGAAUUACAGAGCCCUGAAGUAGAAGGAAGAUCUUCCCGAAGGACAAGAUUCAAGAAAAAAUAAUGAAACUUUGAUAACCUUCACAAACCUCUUCCAGAUUCUCCUUAUCCUUGGUCUCUUCUCUUCCAUCCCAACCUUCUUCCCCUCUCCAUCCCUUCUGGCCUAUCUUCCUCCCUACCCCAACAUUUCCUGAGACUUUCCAGCCCCUCUUUUUUUUUUCUCCCUAGUCCCUUGCUAUCUUCCAUUCCUUCUGGCAUCUUCCUUCCCUUCCAGCCUCCCUCAUCCUCUAGAUCAAUCAAUAAAAAACCACUUCUAGGGAA